rnacentral:rRNA from 1 species
CUAAACUGAGGGAGGUACGUCGAAACUGACCGGCUAGAGGGACGUAGAGGGAAGCGGAACUCUCGGAGUAGCGGUGAAAUGCGUAGAGACCGAGAGGUACCCCGAUGGUGAAGAUAGCUUCCUGGGCGUCUCCUGACGCUGAAGCGCUAAGGCCAGGGGAGCGAAGGGGAUUAGAUACCCCCGUAGUCCUGGCUUCAAACGAUGUGGGCUUGGUGUCGGCCCCCUAUAGAGGGUCGUUGCCGGAGUUAACGCGUUAAGCCCACCGCCCGGGGAUUACGUCCGCAAGGAUGAAACUCAAGGGAAUUGACGGGGGCCCACACAACCGGUGGAGCACGUGGUUUAAUUCGAUGAUAAGCGAAGAACCUUACCAGGGCUUGACCUAGCGGCAGUAGGACCCCGAAAGGGGAACGACCUCAAGCUUUGCUUGAGGAGCC